rnacentral:rRNA from 1 species
AAUAUGGCGCAAUGGGGGGAACCCUGACGCAGCAACGCCGCGUGAGUGAAGAAGGNCUNNGGGUCNUNAAACUCUGUCAUUGGNNNNNAAAAAAAUGACGGUACCCAAUGAGGCAGCCCCGGCUAACUACGUGCCAGCAGCCGCGGUAAUACGUAGGGGGCAAGCGUUGUCCGGAAUUACUGGGCGUAAAGGGUGCGUAGGCGGCCUAAUAAGUCAGAUGUGAAAUACCGAGGCUCAACCUCGGAGGUGCAUUUGAAACUGUUGGGCUUGAGUGCAGGAGAGGAAAGUGGAAUUCCUAGUGUAGCGGUGAAAUGCGUAGAGAUUAGGAGGAACACCAGUGGCGAAGGCGACUUUCUGGACUGUAACUGACGCUGAGGCACGAAAGCGUGGGGAGCAAAC